rnacentral:pre_miRNA from 1 species
AAGCUUUUUGUUUGUGUUAUGUUUAUUUUCAAAUGUAAGACGAACAAAAAGUUUUU